UAGAAACCAAAGAGUGAUCACAUUCCCUUCUUACAACAGAAGUUCGUAAUGCGGAAGUAGAAACUAGUUUUUGAUAUUUUAUAUUAUAAAAAUAAAAACAUAUAUAUUUUUAAAAGUUAUAAAGUAGUUUUUAUUAAUAAUGAGUCGAAGUUAUCAAGAUGAAGCUUACUGGCAGGAAAGAAUAAGGAGUGAAAUAAUAGAACAUGACAUUACUUGUGAAGGACCAUCAACAAUUAUGGAGGGAUUAACAUUGUCAAUUUCUGCCCUAGAUGAUGGAAUGUUUACUUGGAGCAGUUGCAUAUUGGUCGAAGGACGGAAAACUCCUACAUCACAAAGGAGUCAAGCAGUAUGCAAGAUAUACUUUUAACAUGGUAUAUAUUUCUAAAUGCAUA